rnacentral:rRNA from 1 species
UACGUAGGGUGCAGGCGUUAAUCGGAAUUACUGGGCGUAAAGCGUGCGCAGGCGGUCUUUUAAGUCAGAUGUGAAAUCCCCGGGCUUAACCUGGGACUGCGUUUGAAACUGAAAGGCUAGAGUGUGGCAGAGGGGGGUGGAAUUCCACGUGCAGCAGUGAAAUGCGUAGAGAUGUGGAGGAACACCGAUGGCGAAGGCAGCCCCCUGGGCCAACACUGACGCUCAGGCACGAAAGCGUGGGGAGCAAACAGG